rnacentral:rRNA from 1 species
GCGGUGCGGGUCUUACCAUGCAGUCGAGCGAUGAAGCACCUUCGGGUGUGAAUUAGCGGCGAACGGGUGAGGAACACGUGAGAAAUCUGCCUUCAACACUGGGAUAACUCCGGGAAACCGGGGCUAAUACCGGAUAUGAAACCUGCGGGCAUCCGCGGGUUUGGAAAGUUUUUCGGUUGAAGAUGAUCUCGCGGCCUAUCAGCUUGUUGGUGAGGUAAUGGCUCACCAAGGCGACGACGGGUAGCCGGCCUGAGAGGGCGACCGGCCACACUGGGACUGAGACACGGCCCAGACUCCUACGGGAGGCAGCAGUGGGGAAUAUUGGGCAAUGGAGGAAACUCUGACCCAGCGACGCCGCGUGCGGGAUGAAGGCCUUCGGGUUGUAAACCGCUUUCAGCAGGGAAGAAGCGAAAGUGACGGUACCUGCAGAAGAAGCACCGGCUAACUAUGUGCCAGCAGCCGCGGUAAUACAUAGGGUGCAAGCGUUGUCCGGAAUUAUUGGGCGUAAAGAGCUCGUAGGUGGUUCGUCACGUCGGAUGUGAAACUCUGGGGCUUAACCCCAGACCUGCAUUCGAUACGGGCGAGCUUGAGUAUGGUAGGGGAGUCUGGAAUUCCUGGUGUAGCGGUGGAAUGCGCAGAUAUCAGGAGGAACACCAAUGGCGAAGGCAGGACUCUGGGCCAUUACUGACACUGAGGAGCGAAAGCGUGGGGAGCGAACAGGAUUAGAUACCCUGGUAGUCCACGCCGUAAACGGUGCGCACUAGUUGUGGGGACCUUCCACGGUCUCUGCGACGCAGCUAACGCAUUAAGUGCCCCGCCUGGGGAGUACGAUCGCAAGAUUAAAACUCAAAGGAAUUGACGG